GCCAGCAUGGUGUAGUGGUUUGAGCAUUGGACUAUCACUCUAGAGACCAGGGUUUGAAUCCCUAUUUAACCA